ensembl:lncRNA
CAGCAGUGUACUAGAUACACUUCCGCCAGAUAUGGACACAAAUGUCAAGUCUCCCACAUCUUGCCCACACUGGCUAUUAUCAACUUUUUUUAACUUCUGCCAAACUGAUAGACAAAGACCAAUAUCUCAUUUUGCUAUGAAUUAUGUACUUUUUUUUUUUUUUUUUUUUUUAAACCAAGCCUAGUUGUGUUUUCUGCAGUAAGAGGUUGUAUCGUUUGGCUUUGGGACUCCUGCUUUGCUCGUAGUCAUCAGUACAUUGCUGGAUGUUGUUGAAUCUUUUGCUGCAGUCUAUUCCCCUACCUGAGCACAGGGGUCAUUGCUUUCGGUCUCUGACAUAGAUUCUCAAUAUAUUUACACACACAUAAUCACAAGCCUUAAUCACACAUAUACCACAUUAUAUACAUGCAAUCACAUACAUGUGCACACCACAUCACACACAAAAUCACACAUGCAAUCAUUCACACACACCACAUCACAUUAUAGAGUGUCAUUGUAAAGCAUGAAAAUGAAAUCAGUGUUCUGCCCCCUAGUUUAGAGACCCAUCAAAUUGCUGGAACACUUCAAAAACUCCCUGACGAUUGUAGCCUUUCUCAGGUGCCAGCCUCAUCAUUUCAGUUCUCUGGAACCUCCCUCUAGAAACUUGUUUUUGCAAGCUGAGAGCUAUUUCCCUCUUGUUGGACAUAUUUGCACUCUCAUAGCACAAAUCACGACUGCAGUGCCUGCAUUGGCCCAAAAUUCAACUCUUAUUUCAGUUUUCUACCUCACUGCAAUACCUUCUGGAUAUCUUUACAAUGUCAACAUCCAAUUUCACAAAAAAAGUCCAGUGGAAUGAGCUGUCUCUUCAGGAAUAAAUCAGAAGAGAAAAGGUACAACUUAGGAGCAAAACAAGUCCUGGAUUUAAAACCAUGGCAAGCAGACUUCUCCACCGGGUACAAGAAAUAUUGCUGGUUACCUUGUGUUUAUGUCUCCAAAAUGAGUAUGAACUAAACUGUUUUGAAAGCCAAAGAAGUCAAUUUUUGUGACACAAGACUAGGCUAGAAAAGAUGGCAAAGAUUUCAAGAAAUCUGAAACUGUUUUCAAAAAAUCUAUCCAAAUAUGAGGGAGCACAGAAAAAAUCUUUUAAACAGAUUAUUAGAGUUCAUGAAUUUACAGCUUUAUAAUUAUUUCAGUCCGCACUGAGGAAGUAGGCUGUACAACAGCCCUCUUAAAUUUUUUUUAUUGCUUUCUCAAAUACAUUUUACAGAAUUGACUUUACAAUCCAUUGACUGGUCAGUUCUUGCUGGGCUGAAUCAAUUGAUUAAAUGGAGAAAAUAAUAUAUAAUGUUUCCCUCAGGGGAAUGAUGAGAAUUAUGAUGUCAACUUUCACAAAAAUGGGCUGUAGCUUUUAUCUGCCUACUUUUGUUAAACUAUUUUUAAAAUUAAUUUAAGCAGUCUAUUAGUUCAAUAAAUGUUCAAUUUUAAAUACUAAAAGUUAUUACACUAUAAACCAUGAGAUAAAGAAUAUAUUUUGAUAAAAAGCCCCCAAAUUUCACCAACCAGACAGCUGAGACUCCCAAGUCUUCAUGAUAUCAUAUUGCAGUUAACAAUUAUGUCUAUUUAUAUAUUUACAAAGUCACUGUGAUAUCUGAGUAAUGGGUAAGUCAGGCUUUACCUUGUAAAUUAAGUCCUGCAAACUGACAAUGUUUUAAGAACUCUUAUUGUGCUCACUACUCAUUGCAGGUAUCUGAUAUGUCUGUUUUUUCUCCUCCCUAGAUUAUGCUAUUUUGUUAUAAUUUUUAAUCUUCUUAUUCUAACAAUUUUGAUACCUCAGUCCUUUCCAGAGAUGGAAGAGAUACCAGUCAAUCACAAAUAAAUAAAGAAUGUAUGUGAACCAGAUGCUUAUGGCAUAGAUCAUUUUUAUAGGCAUGACAAUUAGGUGGCUACCAUUUAAGGUAUGUUCCUAGAAUAUUUUACAGUAUAUUUUCCAGUCUUAAUUACAAACUUUAGAAAAUAAUUUGAAUAAAAUAGAAAAUGUCUACAGUAUUAUGGAAUUUCCUUCUCAUCAUAUUUGAGAAUCUGUUGUAAAAGCAUGUAAUUAGAACAAAACAAAAAUACUUGCUGACACAUUUUUCUAGGACUUCUGGCCAAAGCAAUAAGGCAAGAAAAAUAAAUGAAACUGAUUAGAAAAUAUAUUAGUAAUAUAAAAUUAGUAGCUAAAAACAAAAUUUUAUUAGCUUAUCGUUCUGGA